rnacentral:rRNA from 1 species
CUACUCUCAGUUCGGAUUGUAGGCUGAAACUCGCCUACAUGAAGCUGGAGUUACUAGUAAUCGCAGAUCAGAAUGCUGCGGUGAAUGCGUUCCCGGGUCUUGUACACACCGCCCGUCACCCCACGGGCGUUGGAGACGCCCGAAGCCGAUUAUCUAACCUUUUGGAAGAAGUCGUCGAAGGUGGAAUCAAUAACUGGGGUGAAGUCGUAACAAGGUAGCCGUAUCGGAAGGUGCGGCUGGAUCACCU